rnacentral:rRNA from 1 species
AGAGUUUGAUCAUGGCUCAGGAUGAACGCUAGCUACAGGCUUAACACAUGCAAGUCGAGGGGAAACGACAUCGAAAGCUUGCUUUUGAUGGGCGUCGACCGGCGCACGGGUGAGUAACGCGUAUCCAACCUGCCCACCACUUGGGGGUAACCUUGCGAAAGUAAGACUAAUACCCAAUGACGUCUCUAGAAGACAUCUGAAAAGAGAUUAAAGAUUUAUCGGUGAUGGAUGGGGAUGCGUCUGAUUAGCUUGUUGGCGGGGUAACGGCCACCAAGGCGACGAUCAGUAGGGGUUCUGAGAGGAAGGUCCCCCACAUUGGAACUGAGACACGGUCCAAACUCCGUACGGGAGCA